rnacentral:rRNA from 1 species
UAAGGGAUAUUGGUCAAUGGGCGGGAGCCUGAACCAGCCAUGCCGCGUGAGGGAAUGAGGCCCUACGGGUCGUAAACCUCUUUUGCCGGGGGAUAACGGGCGCCACGCGUGGCGCCGUGAAGGUACCCGGAGAAUAAGCAUCGGCUAACUCCGUGCCAGCAGCCGCGGUAAUACGGAGGAUGCGAGCGUUAUCCGGAUUUAUUGGGUUUAAAGGGUGCGUAGGCUGUUUGUCAAGUCAGAGGUGAAAGGCCGCAGCUCAACUGUGGAAUUGCCUUUGAUACUGGCAGGCUUGAAUACUGUUGCCGUGGGAGGAGUGAGUAGUGUAGCGGUGAAAUGCAUAGAUAUUACUCAGAACACCGAUUGCGAAGGCAUCUCACGAAGCAGACAUUGACGCUGAGGCACGAAAGCGUGGGGAUCAAACAGGAUUAGAUACCCUGGUAGU